GUGCUUGCUUUGGUAGCACAUGUACUAAAAUUGGAACAAAACAGAAGAUUAGCAUGGUCCCUGCACAAAUGACAUGCAAAUUCGUGAAGUGUUCCAUAUUUAA